rnacentral:lncRNA from 1 species
GUAAAAAAUCUUACCUAAUUUACCCUGUUGUUUUUUAAUGCAGUGUCAUCACUGGAUUGUUUAUAGCCGCUGGACAGCAGGGAGAAAAUGGGGGGAGAAUCAUCAGUGAAGUAAAAGAUCUGUGCUGGGUGGAUGAUGAAUAUAGCAAGCAGACAGCAAAAGCAUUGCAACAUCCAGAAUUGUUCAGGCAGGAUGUCCAGUUUUAUUCUAUCAAAUGCCACCGAAACAAAGGGAACAAUCCAUUUUUCCUGAUAGAAGCCAACAGAUCGUAAGAGGUUUGAGAUGAGUGUGAGGAUACAAUUUGCCUAGAGAGUGCCUGAGGAUCAAGACAAGCUGACUUUCCACGGAAUGAGUCUGUCAGCUGGCAUCUUGCGGUAAUUGCUUCCCAUGGCAGGGCCUCACCAGCUGAGGGAGGGCUGAUCGCGUCAACUCAAGAAUCCAUUUUAUUAUUACUAUUUUUUUUAACAGCCACUGAACGAUAAUUGUUUGCUAAGGCUG